UGGGGAAUCUUAGACAAUGGGGGCAACCCUGAUCUAGCCAUGCCGCGUGAGUGACGAAGGCCCUAGGGUCGUAAAGCUCUUUCGCCAGGGAUGAUAAUGACAGUACCUGGUAAAGAAACCCCGGCCAACUCCGUGCCAGCAGCCGCGGUAAUACGGAGGGUGCAAGCGUUGUCCGGAAUCACUGGGUGUAAAGGGUGUGUAGGUGGGACUGUAAGUCAGAGGUGAAAGCCCACGGCUCAACCGUGGAAUUGCCUUUGAUACUGCAGUUCUUGAGUCCCGGAGAGGUCAUCGGAAUUCGUGGUGUAGCGGUGAAAUGCGUAGAUAUCACGAGGAACACCAGAGGCGUAAGCGGAUGACUGGACGGGUACUGACACUGAGGCACGAAAGCGUGGGGAGCAAACAGGAUUAGAUACCCCCGUAGUCC
rnacentral:rRNA from 1 species